GUGCCAGCCGCAGCGGUAAUACGUAGGGUGCAAGCGUUAUCCGGAAUUAUUGGGCGUAAAGAGCUCGUAGGCGGUUGUCGCGUCUGGUGUGAAAGUCCAUCGCUUAACGGUGGAUCUGCGCCGGGUACGGGCAGGCUGGAGUGCAGUAGGGGAGACUGGAAUUCCGGUGUAACGGUGGAAUGUGUAGAUAUCGGGAAGAACACCAAUGGCGAAGGCAGGUCUCUGGGCUGUUACUGACGCUGAGGAGCGAAAGCGUGGGGAGCGAACAGGAUUAGAUACCCUGGUAGUCCACGCCGUAAACGGUGGAUGCUGGAUGUGGGGCCCACUCCACGGGUUCCGUGUCGGAGCUAACGCGUUAAGCAUCCCGCCUGGGGAGUACGGCCGCAAGGCUAAAACUCAAAGAAAUUGACGGGGGCCCGCACAAGCGGCGGAGCAUGCGGAUUAAUUCGAUGCAACGCGAAGAACCUUACCUGGGCUUGACAUGUGCCGGACGGUCUCGGAGACGGGGCCUCCCGUUCGGGGCCGGUUCACGAGGUGGUGCAUC
rnacentral:rRNA from 1 species